rnacentral:rRNA from 1 species
GACGAACGCUGGCGGCGUGCUUAACACAUGCAAGUCGAACGGAGAGGCCCUUCGGGGUACUCGAGUGGCGAACGGGUGAGUAACACGUGGGUGAUCUGCCCUGCACUUUGGGAUAAGCCUGGGAAACUGGGUCUAAUACCGAAUAGGACCACGCGCUUCAUGGUGUGUGGUGGCAAGCUUUUGCGGUGUGGGAUGGGCCCGCGGCCUAUCAGCUUGUUGGUGGGGUAAUGGCCUACCAAGGCGACGACGGGUAGCCGGCCUGAGAGGGUGACCGGCCACACUGGGACUGAGAUACGGCCCAGACUCCUACGGGAGGCAGCAGUGGGGAAUAUUGCACAAUGGGCGCAAGCCUGAUGCAGCGACGCCGCGUGAGGGAUGACGGCCUUCGGGUUGUAAACCUCUUUCACCAGGGACGAAGCGUAAGUGACGGUACCUGGAGAAGAAGCACCGGCCAACUACGUG